GACAGAGGGUGCUAGCGUUGUUCGGAAUUACUGGGCGUAAAGGGCGCGUAGGCGGCUUGUUUAGUCGGGUGUGAAAUCCCGGGGCUCAACUCCAGAACUGCCUUCGAUACUGGCGAUCUUGAGUCCGGAAGAGGUGAGUGGAAUUCCUAGUGUAGAGGUGGAAUUCGUAGAUAUUAGGAAGAACACCAGUGGCGAAGGCGGCUCACUGGUCCGGUACUGACGCUGAGGUGCGAAAGCGUGGGGAGCAAACAGG
rnacentral:rRNA from 1 species